GUCGAACGCUGGCGGCGUGCUUAACACAUGCAAGUCGAACGGAAAGGCCUGCUUUCCCUUGUGGAUUGCGGGUACUCGAGUGGCUAACGGGUGAGUAACACGUGAGUGAUCUGCCCCCAACUUGGGUAUAAGCCUGUGAAACUGGGUCUAAUUCCCGAUAGGACUGCAGGGUGGUGCCUGUCGUGGACAACGAUUUUCUAGUGGUUGGGGAUGAGCUCGCGGCCUAUCAGCUUGUUGGUGGGGUAAUGGCCUACCAAGGCCGCGACGGGUAGCCGGCCGGAGAGGGUUGACGGCCACAUUGGGACUGGGGUCAGGCCCAGACGGCAACGGGAGGCAGCGGAGGGGAGUAUUGCACAAGGGGCGGAAGCCUGAUGCAGCGACGCCGCGUGGGAGAUGACGGCCUUCGGGUUGUAAACUCCUUUCGACCGAGAGGAAGCCACCUGGUUGGAAGGGUGGUGACGGUAGUGGUAGAAGAAGCACCGGCUAACUACGUG
rnacentral:rRNA from 1 species